rnacentral:rRNA from 1 species
UUCCGGUUGAUCCUGCCGGACCCCACUGCUAUCGGGAUAGGACUAAGACAUGCUAGUCGAGCGCGUCAGCCAAAACGACGCGCGGCAUACAGCUCAGUAACACGUGACUAAUCUGCCCUUGGGACGAGAACAAACCCGGGAAACUGGGGCUAAUUCUCGAUAGAUGAAGAACUCUGGAAUGAGUCUUUAUCAAAAAAGAUUUACGUUAUGCUCGUGAAUCCGCCCAAGGAUGAGGCCGCGACCGAUCAGGUUGUUGGUGAGGUAACGGCUCACCAAGCCUUUUACCGGUGCGGGCCGUGGGAGCGGGAGCCCGGAGAUGGGUACUGAGACAAGGACCCAGGCCCUACGGGGCGCAGCAGUCGCGAAACCUUUGCAAUACACGCAAGUGUGACAGGGCCAUCCCGAGUGCCGACCGCUGAGGUUGGCUUUUACCCCAGUCUAGACAGCUGGGGGAAUAAGGAGAGGGCAAGUCUGGUGUCAGCCGCCGCGGUAAUACCAGCUCUCCGAGUGGUGUGGACGUUUAUUGGGCCUAAAGCAUCCGUAGCUUGCUGGGCAAGUCCCCUGUUAAACCCACCGAUUUAAUCGUUGGCUUGCGGGGGAAACUGCUCGGCUAGGGGACGAGAGAGGCAGACGGUAUUCCCGGGGUAGGGGUGAAAUCCUAUAAUCCCGAGAAGACCACCAGUGGCGAAGGCUGUCUGCUAGAACGCGCCCGACGGUGAGGGAUGAAAGCUGGGGGAGCGAACCGGAUUAGAUACCCGGGUAGUCCCAGCUGUAAACGAAGCCAGACUAGGUGUUUGGACGGCCACGUGCCGUUCUAGUGCCGCAGGGAAGCUGUUAAGUCUGCCGCCUGGGAAGUACGAUCGCAAGAUUGAAACUUAAAGGAAUUGGCGGGGGAGCACCACAAGGGGUGAAGCUUGCGGUUUAAUUGGAUUCAACGCCGGA